rnacentral:snoRNA from 1 species
ACAGUUACCCAGUUUUCCAUGUAGUAAAAUUAAAGGAGCUGAUACUAAAUUCCAGCUUAGAAAAUGGGUAAUUCUUCAUGUGGAUGACUGUGCUGAAAGCAUGGGAGCAGCU